rnacentral:lncRNA from 1 species
UCACUGAUAUGCGAAUUCUUUGUAUAAAGUGUUGAGUUCUGAUCACGAGUUCUGAAGAAGAAGAUUCCAUCAGUGAAUUAGUGCAUCUUCCAUGGAUGCAAAUCAAAAUUCUCCAAUUGACGAUUUAGAAGUUCAAGCACUCGUCACUCUUGUUUCUUGAGUUAAAGAAAUCCUAACUAUUGGUGCCAGAACCUCCGUGAAUUUGAUUAUAGAUCCCCCCAUGCCCGUUCU